rnacentral:rRNA from 1 species
GAUGAACGCUGGCGGCGUGCCUAAUACAUGCAAGUCGAGCGAACGGACGAGAACCUUCCUUCUCUCAUUUUAGCGGCGGACGGGUAAGUACCACGUGGAUACCCUACCUAUAAGCCUGGGAUAACUUCGGGAAACCGUAGCUAAUACCGGAUAAUAUUUUCCACCCCAUGGUUCAAGAUUGAAACACGGUCUUCCUGUUACUUAUAAAUGGAUCCGCGCUGCAUUAGCUAGUUGGUAAGGUAACGGCUUACCAAGGCAACGAUGCAUAGCCGACCUGAGAGGGUGAUCGGCCACACUGGAACUGAGACACGGUCCAGACUCCUACGGGAGGCAGCAGUAGGGAAUCUUCCGCAAUGGGCGAAAGCCUGACGGAGCAACGCCGCGUGAGUGAUGAAGGUCUUCGGAUCGUAAAACUCUGUUAUUAGGGAAGAACAUAUGUGUAAGUAACUGUGCACACCUUGACGGUACCUAAUCAGAAAGCCACGGCUAACUACGUG